UCACCCACAGCUACCAUGACUUUGAUCCCCGUCUUCAUCUGGACACUGAUCCUCUGGACUCAAGAAUGCAGAGGUCAAGCAACAGUAACUCAGACUCCUGCAGUGAAAUCUGUUCUUCCAGGAGAAACAGUCACCAUCAACUGUAAAACCAGUCCAGCAGUGUAUAGCAACAACUACUUAUUCUGGUAUCAGCAGAAACCUGGAGAAGCUCCUAAACUCCUGAUUAAAUUUGCCAAUCAGUUACAGUCAGGUUUUCCAGCUCGUUUCAGUGGCAGUGGAUCUGGAUCUGAUUUCACUAUGACCAUCAGUGGAGUCCAGACUGAAGAUGCAGGAGAUUAUUACUGUCAGAGUUACCAUUCCAUCUCUGGCUACUGGUUCACACAGUGAUAUAGAGUCGUACAAAAACCUCCCUCAGUCAGAUAGUAGAGAAACUGCACUGCUGCAGCUGGGAGCGACUGCAGGUGCUGAGUUGGAGGAUGUGAUACACACAAACACACAAAUUCCUAUUUAACAGACACAAAUCUUGUGUCUUUUACAUUGAUUUGUGUCUGUGUGUUUAAUUUCUUGGUUUUAAGAGCUUUUGGGAGCAGAACACAAAUUAAAUUAAGCACUUUGCUUUCCUGGACAGAAAGUUACUGAGUUUAUAAUGCUAAUGUCGAGCUCAUAUUGAGCUGUGAUUAUUUCCUACAGAGCUUCAUCAUUUUUUUACAGUGUUUUUAGCAUAUAGCAUUAGGCACACAAAAAGUUUUAUUAGUAGAUUGAAAAUUUCAUCAUAGAGAAUGAACUGUGAACUGAAUAUUUACUAUUAUAAUUAAUCAUGAAAAUAGUUUAUAAUAUAAACUUCUGUGUUGAAUUUCAA